UUUCAAAGGGGGAAAGUGAUCGUGGCCUUCCCUGAUAGGAGGCUUUGCGUGGUCUGUCUGGGGGAGUGUCCCUGAGCCCUGCUGGGCCCCUUCCAACCACCAGCAAGCCAGCUGCCUGUCUCUGCCUUCACAGGUUUUCUGAAGUUGGUGGGUGCUGGACGCUUCUGAAGAGGAGUUUUAAUUGGCAGAGGCUGCCGUCUCCCUGGCAGGGAGACAUUCUGGAGGCCUGGGGGCGGGUUGUUUUUUCUUCACUCCAUUAAUACCAGUGACCUUUUUGCCUCCAGCGUUAAUUAAAUACAGACAUUUCAGGCAUCUGCAUGGUCAUGGUCUGGCAUUAUCUUGACCUUAGGCGACUUGGAAAUUCCAUAUUUGGCCUUCACUAAACGAGGCAUAGAAGAGCAAUCAUGGACGAUCUGGAAAUGGAGGGCUUAGAGCCACACCUUGUGGCCACCCAGAGGGGGGCCUGUGUUGCUGCGGAGGUGGGGAGACAGCAGAGCUCUCUGGCUUGACCACCAUGGAUGAAGCUGGGCUCAGCUCUGGGCUGGGGGAGGCAGGAAGGACCUCACGCUCCUGGGACCCAGUUGCGUUCAAGGAGACACAGCCCAGCCAUCUGGGUAACAGGUGAUGAAUGGGAGGUAGGGUGGAAGAUGUCUUGAGGGAUGGGCCAGAUGGUGGGUUACAGAGGGGCAGAGCAGGGCGGUGGGUGUGAGCCCAGAUGUGAGGCUCCCUACCUGGGUGUGCCCUGCGCUGGGCUCCUGACCCAGUGAGAGGCUGAGGCUGGCACCUGCCUGGACGCCUCUGCCACUUGGGCGGAAGGAGGGGGACUUAGUCUCUUGCUGCUGCUCAAAGGAGCGGCUUUCUUCCCGAGUGUCAGCUCAUUUUCCCGCGUCCUUCAGCAAUAACCAGCAUGUGCCGAUAGGCUCCCGAGUCGCUUCCUAGUGCUGCGUUCUCACAAGCCCAACAUCUGUUUCGGUUGGGAUUUUUUUUUUUGAGAUGGAGNNNNNNNNNNNNNNNNNNNNNNNNNNNNNCCCACGCGAUCUUCAGAACAUCGACCCCUGCCUUUCCUCCUGCCUCCCACGUCAACAGCGGUGAUGCCAGUGGCCAGGGUUCUGUGUUCUGCCUGUGCUGUCUCCUGUCCUUCACCCCAGGGUCUAGGGCAGGUGAGGGCUAGCAGAGUGCUCAGCUCUGGACCCUGCCUGGGGUCAUAGCAUCAUGGCAGGCCCUGCUGGGGGACAGGCUGCUGUUUCACCUCAGGGGCCCCAAGUCUGGACUUCUUUCCCUGGGGGUCCAGGGUGGGCGCCAGGAUCUGGAGCCUCUUGGGGUGCCCUGUGUUCUGGGGGAUUUUGCUUUUAUGAAGGCCGGGGAGGGAGGGCUCGCCCCUGGUAGGCGGCCGUGCGGGGCAGGUCCCUUGCCGCCUGAGGACCCCAGAGUUGUCGCUAGGGCCUCCUCCUCCACGCUGCCCCACCGUGGCGCUGCCCGACUGUGGGACCGAGGACCAGCUGAGGACCAGCUGAGGCCCAGCUGCUGUUGCCGCUGCCUCCGCCACCCGAGCCUCCUUCCUUCUUUCCUCCCUCCCUUUCUCCUUCUUCCCUUGCUCUUCAGCCCUCUCCACCCUCCACCCUGCAGCUGUGGGGCCUUCGUGUGACCCCUCCACAGCCUGAAGGCAGCUGGCUGUCAGACUCCCACCUUUAGAGGCCUGUGGAUUUGGGAGGGUGGCAAGAGGAGUCUGCAGGGGAGGUGGGACUCAGGCUGUCUGGUAAGUGCCCAGAUCGGACUCAGAGCCGUAGAUCUUGGACCGCGCUGUCCUCUGAGAGAAAGGGCAGCUGAGUCCGCCUUACUGCGUGUCUAAGGGCCGGGGCCCUUCACCGCCCAGCAAAACCUGCUCCUCACGACCAGGAAGAUGGUGUUCCUGGCCUCACUUUGAAGUCUUUUUGUGACACAUCAUCCUGAUGAUAAUUCUGGGGGUGGGCUCGGGCAAGUUCCCCGUGGAUGGAGACCGCUUGGCUCUUUCUUUCCCCCUUACAAGAACCUGGAACGCUUUUUAUUGCCAAGGCUGGGCCGGGUCCCCUUUUCUCAUCUGCAAUGGCCUCUGAGCUGAAGCCUGGCCCGGAUUCGCCCCUCCUCUUGCAUCUCUGGCCUGUGAGUCCUCUCCUCCCUCUAGCCCUGCAGCUCAGCCUGCCCUGCCCUCCCGAGCUCCUUGUGCCCCUGUGUCCCUGUUGGAGCCGAAGGACAGUUGUCUCUGCUGGACUCUGACGCCCGAUUCAGGCACGGAGACCCAGGAGGGACAGCCAGGCAGGUUAGGUGCUCGGCUGCCCUUUGGUCGAGCCCUGCAUGGGGCCCAGGGAUUGAUGCAGAUUGAUUUUUGCUGACCCCUGGGAUGACCUUGGCCAAGUGACUUAAUUCUGUCUCCUCCCCAGUGUGCUUAUAGACAGAGGUGUAUGCACUGGUAGGGGUGCCCUAA
rnacentral:lncRNA from 1 species